ACUAAUAGUACUAUUGAAUUUUUUUGGUUUUGAUAAAAUGAUAAAAAGUUUUUAAUUAUAAUUUUUAGGUGAAAUUAAAAUUAUAAAUAAAAUUUUUUAGAAAAAUUGAUUUCUAUAAAUUAAUAAUUAAACUAGGAUUAGAUACCCUAUUAUUGUAACCUAAUUUUUUGCCAUGUUAUUAGUAGCUAUGAUCUUUAAAGUAAAAGAAUUUGGCGGUAUUCUAUACUAUUUAGAGGAACCUGUUCUAUAAUUGAUAAUCCACGAUUAAAUCUACUUUUUUUAUGGUUUGCAUAUCGUUGUUUAAAAUAUAUCUUUAGAUUAUGUUUAUUACUUUAAUUAUAAUAUAAUUCAGAUCAAGGUGUAGCUUAUAAAAAAGAUUAAAUGGGUUACUAUAAUAAAAAUUUUGGAUUAAAGUUUUUGAAAUUUUAUGAAAAUGGAUUUAAUAGUAAAUUUAUAUUUAUUUAUAUAUUGAUUUUAGCCCUAGAAU
rnacentral:rRNA from 1 species